rnacentral:rRNA from 1 species
ACGAACGCUGGCGGCGUGCCUAAUACAUGCAAGUAGAACGCUGAAGAGAGGAGCUUGCUCUUCUUGGAUGAGUUGCGAACGGGUGAGUAACGCGUAGGUAACCUGCCUUGUAGCGGGGGAUAACUAUUGGAAACGAUAGCUAAUACCGCAUAACAAUGGAUGACACAUGUCAUUUAUUUGAAAGGGGCAAUUGCUCCACUACAAGAUGGACCUGCGUUGUAUUAGCUAGUAGGUGAGGUAACGGCUCACCUAGGCGACGAUACAUAGCCGACCUGAGAGGGUGAUCGGCCACACUGGGACUGAGACACGGCCCAGACUCCUACGGGAGGCAGCAGUAGGGAAUCUUCGGCAAUGGGGGCAACCCUGACCGAGCAACGCCGCGUGAGUGAAGAAGGUUUUCGGAUCGUAAAGCUCUGUUGUAAGUCAAGAACGAGUGUGAGAGUGGAAAGUUCACACUGUGACGGUAGCUUACCAGAAAGGGACGGCUAACUACGUGCCAGCAGCCGCGGUAAUACGUAGGUCCCGAGCGUUGUCCGGAUUUAUUGGGCGUAAAGCGAGCGCAGGCGGUUUGAUAAGUCUGAAGUUAAAGGCUGUGGCUCAACCAUAGUUCGCUUUGGAAACUGUCAAACUUGAGUGCAGAAGGGGAGAGUGGAAUUCCAUGUGUAGCGGUGAAAUGCGUAGAUAUAUGGAGGAACACCGGUGGCGAAAGCGGCUCUCUGGUCUGUAACUGACGCUGAGGCUCGAAAGCGUGGGGAGCGAACAGGAUUAGAUACCCUGGUAGUCCACGCCGUAAACGAUGAGUGCUAGGUGUUGGAUCCUUUCCGGGAUUCAGUGCCGCAGCUAACGCAUUAAGCACUCCGCCUGGGGAGUACGACCGCAAGGUUGAAACUCAAAGGAAUUGACGGGGGCCCGCACAAGCGGUGGAGCAUGUGGUUUAAUUCGAAGCAACGCGAAGAACCUUACCAGGUCUUGACAUCCCGAUGCUAUUUCUAGAGAUAGAAAGUUACUUCGGUACAUCGGUGACAGGUGGUGCAUGGUUGUCGUCAGCUCGUGUCGUGAGAUGUUGGGUUAAGUCCCGCAACGAGCGCAACCCCUAUUGUUAGUUGCCAUCAUUCAGUUGGGCACUCUAGCGAGACUGCCGGUAAUAAACCGGAGGAAGGUGGGGAUGACGUCAAAUCAUCAUGCCCCUUAUGACCUGGGCUACACACGUGCUACAAUGGCUGGUACAACGAGUUGCGAGUCGGUGACGGCAAGCUAAUCUCUUAAAGCCAAUCUCAGUUCGGAUUGUAGGCUGCAACUCGCCUACAUGAAGUCGGAAUCGCUAGUAAUCGCGGAUCAGCACGCCGCGGUGAAUACGUUCCCGGGCCUUGUACACACCGCCCGUCACACCACGAGAGUUUGUAACACCCGAAGUCGGUGAGGUAACCUUUUGGAGCCAGCCGCCUAAGGUGGGAUAGAUGAUUGGGGUG